rnacentral:rRNA from 1 species
GAUGAACGCUGGCGGCGUGCCUAAUACAUGCAAGUCGAGCGAACAGACGAGGAGCUUGCUCCUCUGACGUUAGCGGCUGACGUGUGAGUAACACGUUGAUAACCUACCUAUAAGACUGGGAUAACUUCGUGAAACCGGAGCUAAUACCGGAUAAUAUAUUGAACCUCAUUGUUCAAUAGUGAAAGACGGUUUUGCUGUCACUUAUAGAUAGAUCCGCGCCGCAUUAGCUAUUUGGUAAGGUAACGGCUUACGAAGGCAACGGUGCGUAGCCGACCUGAGAGGGUGAUCGGCCACACUGGAACUGAGAAACGGUCCAGCCUCCUACGGGAGGCAGCAGUAGGGAAUCUUCGGCAAUGGGCGAAAGCCUGACGGAGAACCGCCGCGUGAGUGAUGAAGGUCUUCGGAUCGUAAACCUCUUUUAUUAGGGAAGAACAAAUGUGUAAGUAACUAUGCACGUCUUGACGGUACCUAAUCAGAAAGCCACGGCUAACUACGUG